UACCAGCACCCCGAGUGGUCGGGACGUUUAUUGGGCCUAAAGCAUCCGUAGCCGGUUCUACGAGUCUUCCGUUAAAUCCAACUGCUUAACAGGUGGGCUGCGGAAGAUACUAUAGAGCUAGGAGGCGGGAGAGGCAAGCGGUACUCGAUGGGUAGGGGUAAAAUCCGUUGAUCCAUUGAAGACCACCAGUGGCGAAGGCGGCUUGCCAGAACGCGCUCGACGGUGAGGGAUGGAAGCUGGGGGAGCAAACCGG
rnacentral:rRNA from 1 species